AUCGGGAUAGCAUAAUGGUAAUGCGCAUGGCUCUGAACCAUGUCAGUGGAGGUUCGAAUCCUUCUCCCGAUGCCA
rnacentral:tRNA from 1 species